rnacentral:sRNA from 1 species
AAGAUUGUUUCCAGAGUCAAAGUUAUCUAUUUAUCCACAGAACAGGUAGAGCAAAGGAAGCAGCACUGCAAACUUCCCUACAAUGCCCAAAUGCAUCUCACUCAUGCCUUUCAGUGAGGAACUCUACAUAUGAGCAUGUAAUAUGCUCUUCAUAAUUACUCACACCCUGGCCUUU